UACGGAGGGUGCGAGCGUUGUCCGGAAUCAUUGGGCGUAAAGAGCUCGUAGGCGGUGUGUCGCGUCGGCCGUGAAAACCUGCAGCUUAACUGUGGGCUUGCGGUCGAUACGGGCAUCACUGGAGUUCGGCAGGGGAGACUGGAAUUCCUGGUGUAGCGGUGAAAUGCGCAGAUAUCAGGAGGAACACCGGUGGCGAAGGCGGGUCUCUGGGCCGAUACUGACGCUGAGGAGCGAAAGCGUGGGGAGCGAACAGG
rnacentral:rRNA from 1 species